GACACAAGCAGUUCCCAUACAGGAAGGUCCCUGGUGACAAUGGCAAAUUCUGCUUUUAUUCGGAACCAGAAAAAAUGAAGUUUGCUCAUCCUGGCUCAGCAUCAGCAAAAUCAUAAGUUCCUGUGUGGUCUGAGAUUAAAAAUAUCGGCUCAAACUGAUUUUCUGUUUGGAUUCCGUUCAACAGCCUUUCCAAAAUGGAAUUAAGCUCUGGAGGAUCUGCCCAUUCUCAAGUGUACCAGUGUGCUUGGAUGAAUGAUGAAAACAGAAGAUGUUGAACUCAUUUUAAUUCAUAUCUGGCAGUAAGCUGGGCAGAACAGCGGGGCAGUCACACACCGAACAAGGGAACCCAGAAAAGACAUCAGGAUUAAAAACUAGACUGUGGAUAGUAAAGCACAAGUACAAGGAGGUGAUACUGGCAGGAGAGAGGAGCUGUAAGUCCUGAAACCUGAUGGAGUGCUGAACAGUUAAUGGGUCACGUUAGGAAAGCUGUGUGAAGCAGGUCAUCACAGCGCUGUGACCCAGGUGUGCUGACACUCUGUUAAUUCCUGGAGGAGACAAGGAAGGAGAAAGAGGUGUUAGCUGAGAAGGGGCAUAGCGCCCAUUGAUGACUCAAAGGUGAAUCUGGAUAAGUUCAAGAGGUAAGUUGGGUUCCUGUGC